CGCGAAGAACCUUACCAGGUCUUGACAUCCUUUGACCACUCUAGAGAUAGAGCUUCCCCUUCGGGGGCAAAGUGACAGGUGGUGCAUGGUUGUCGUCAGCUCGUGUCGUGAGAUGUUGGAUUAAGUCCCGCAACGAGCGCAACCCUUAUUGUUAGUUGCCAUCAUUUAGUUGGGCACUCUAGCGAGACUGCCGGUGACAAACCGGAGGAAGGUGGGGAUGACGUCAAAUCAUCAUGCCCCUUAUGACCUGGGCUACACACGUGCUACAAUGGGAAGUACAACGAGUUGCGAAGUCGCGAGGCUAAGCUAAUCUCUUAAAGCUUCUCUCAGUUCGGAUUGUAGGCUGCAACUCGCCUACAUGAAGCCGGAAUCGCUAGUAAUCGCGGAUCAGCACGCCGCGGUGAAUACGUUCCCGGGUCUUGUACACACC
rnacentral:rRNA from 1 species